UGUAUUUUCAAAGGGUGAAUUCUCCUCAUACUCCCCUAGGCUCAUUUCUAGUUUUUGACUCUGGGCUAAUGGGUGCAGUUCUGCCACAAAGCUAACAUUUGUCUCUUCGUUGUCCCACCACAUCUGUAUGGACAUUCUGGAGGCCUCUACAUUUAAGUAGAGAACUGCUGGGAAUCUCUAUGCCCCCAAAUACUAGAAAUAAAUGCAGGUGAAUUAACUUCUUUGAACAUUUAUUGAGUACCUGGCAUGUGCUGGGUUUUCUACCAGGUACCAGAAAGUCAAAGGUGAGCAAGAAAUCACUCUUGCUGUGAAAAAAAACCUCACAGUUUGGUGGAGUAGGUAGGAAUCAUUCUUAGGUAAGGCAUCAUUCUUAGGUAAUAAACACCAUUCUUAGGUAAGACAGACUACAGACAGAGCUAGAAGACAAAGUGCCAUGGGAGCACAAAAGAGAGAUACCAGUUGUCGCUGUGGGGCUUGUCGAGGGGAGUAUUCAGAUUCCCAGGUGACUCAGCUGAAAGGAAACUACAUCUGGAAACAGAGGCAGCUGCGAAGAACAGAAGAGUCUCCAGUACCUGGAUGCUGGUCAGAGUCGUGUACUGGUAGGCCUUGACCACCAGGUAAUUUGCUUCCAGGUCGAUGAGUCCCAGGAUCAUAUACUUCCACCACCUUCGUCGUAAAAUUGCCAGGAGGUUUUCUUCUCCUGUGUUAUGAAGUCACCACGAUAGGAGGCGAAGACCUUUUCAACGUUAUGAAGACUCGUAAAACAAAGCUUUCCAGCUACAUGGAUAAUGUCAGAGUGUGGGUUGUGUCUGGCUGGCAACAAGGAAGGAGAGGUCCCUGGACCUUUGGGAAGCUAACCCAGUUUUCAAGCCUUAUUUUGGAUGCUACACUUCUCAUAUCCUUUGCUCCAAACACACUAAAAAUCUCUCUCAGUGAAUUGCUAAUUCUUGUUCAUCCUGCAAAGUUUAGUUAUUCUCUCCCAUUUUGUCUGAUACCACUGCCCCCUGGGUAAUGUGUACCCAGCUCUGAAUAGUCUUUUCACAUGAUUGCAAUUACUUAGAAAUUGUCUCUUCACUAAACUAGGAAUUUGGGGAUGGUAAGACAUCAAUGUCUUACUCAUACAUGUAUCCACAGCACUUAGCAUACUGACAUAUACUAAGGAUUAGCUAAGUGUUUUGGAAUGAACAAAUAAUUGAACUGAAAAAAGUGUGAAGUGCUAUCUCUCUGAAUAUGUCAAGAGCCAGCUCUAGAAUAUGAGUCACAUUUCUUAGUGUUUUGCACUUAGAUUCAUAGCUGGUAGAUGUGAUCCCCAAGGUUAUUUCCUCCCAGCCAGCUCAUUUUGGCAAUGCCCUCGCACAGCAUUUCUGCCUUUCUUACUUGCCUGCACAUUUGAUAAAUCAACACACCUCUCAAUUUAUUUUGUAAAUUAGUGAUUCACAACUUCACUGAAUAUUUCCAUCUUCUUGAGAGAUUUUUAAAAAUUUCAAUGUCUGGGACCAGUCCCCCCAAA